GACGAACGCUGGCGGCGCGCUUAAUACAUGCAAGUCGAGCGAGAACCGGAGCUUCGGCUCCGGGGACAGCGGCGAGCGGGUGAGUAACACGUGGGUAACCUGCCCUCGGCACCGGGAUAGCCCGGGGAAACCCGGAUUAAUACCGGAUGGCCCUUUCGGUCUUCGGACCGGUCGGCAAAGGUAGCUUCGGCCUCCGGCCGAGGAUGGGCCCGCGGCGGAUUAGCUUGUUGGUGAGGUAACGGCUCACCAAGGCUCCGAUCCGUAGCUGGUCUGAGAGGACAAUCAGGCAGACUGGGACUGAGACACGGCACAGACUCCUACGGGAGGCAGCAGUAGGGAAUCUUGCGCAAUGGGCGAAAGCCUGGCGCAGCGACGCCGCGUGCGGGAAGACGGCCUUCGGGUUGUAAACCGCUUUCAGGAGGGACGAAGCCACUCGGGUGAAUAGCCCAGAGGGUGACGGUACCUCCAGAAGAAGCCCCGGCUAACUACGUGCCAGCAGCCGCGGUAA
rnacentral:rRNA from 1 species